GAUGAACGCUGGCGGCGUGCCUAAUACAUGCAAGUCGAGCGAACGGACGAGAAGCUUGCUUCUCUGAUGUUAGCGGCGGACGGGUGAGUAACACGUGGAUAACCUACCUAUAAGACUGGGAUAACUUCGGGAAACCGGAGCUAAUACCGGAUAAUAUUUUGAACCGCAUGGUUCAAAAGUGAAAGACGGUCUUGCUGUCACUUAUAGAUGGAUCCGCGCUGCAUUAGCUAGUUGGUAAGGUAACGGCUUACCAAGGCAACGAUGCAUAGCCGACCUGAGAGGGUGAUCGGCCACACUGGAACUGAGACACGGUCCAGACUCCUACGGGAGGCAGCAGUAGGGAAUCUUCCGCAAUGGGCGAAAGCCUGACGGAGCAACGCCGCGUGAGUGAUGAAGGUCUUCGGAUCGUAAAACUCUGUUAUUAGGGAAGAACAUAUGUGUAAGUAACUGUGCACAUCUUGACGGUACCUAAUCAGAAAGCCACGGCUAACUACGUGCCAGCAGCCGCGGUAAUACGUAGGUGGCAAGCGUUAUCCGGAAUUAUUGGGCGUAAAGCGCGCGUAGGCGGUUUUUUAAGUCUGAUGUGAAAGCCCACGGCUCAACCGUGGAGGGUCAUUGGAAACUGGAAAACUUGAGUGCAGAAGAGGAAAGUGGAAUUCCAUGUGUAGCGGUGAAAUGCGCAGAGAUAUGGAGGAACACCAGUGGCGAAGGCGACUUUCUGGUCUGUAACUGACGCUGAUGUGCGAAAGCGUGGGGAUCAAACAGGAUUAGAUACCCUGGUAGUCCACGCCGUAAACGAUGAGUGCUAAGUGUUAGGGGGUUUCCGCCCCUUAGUGCUGCAGCUAACGCAUUAAGCACUCCGCCUGGGGAGUACGACCGCAAGGUUGAAACUCAAAGGAAUUGACGGGGACCCGCACAAGCGGUGGAGCAUGUGGUUUAAUUCGAAGCAACGCGAAGAACCUUACCGAAUCUUGACAUCCUUUGACAACUCUAGAGAUAGAGCCUUCCCCUUCGGGGGACAAAGUGACAGGUGGUGCAUGGUUGUCGUCAGCUCGUGUCGUGAGAUGUUGGGUUAAGUCCCGCAACGAGCGCAACCCUUAAGCUUAGUUGCCAUCAUUAAGUUGGGCACUCUAAGUUGACUGCCGGUGACAAACCGGAGGAAGGUGGGGAUGACGUCAAAUCAUCAUGCCCCUUAUGAUUUGGGCUACACACGUGCUACAAUGGACAAUACAAAGGGCAGCGAAACCGCGAGGUCAAGCAAAUCCCAUAAAGUUGUUCUCAGUUCGGAUUGUAGUCUGCAACUCGACUACAUGAAGCUGGAAUCGCUAGUAAUCGUAGAUCAGCAUGCUACGGUGAAUACGUUCCCGGGUCU
rnacentral:rRNA from 1 species